rfam:Oryza brachyantha chromosome 9, whole genome shotgun sequence.
AGCUGCGUGGUGAGCACAAAGCGAACUAUUCUUUCGCCUUUUACUAAAGAAUACCGUGUGCUCGCCACAAAUAGCAGCAUACUUUUACUUUUAUUUUUGGAGGGUGUUAAUAAAGCCCC